rnacentral:rRNA from 1 species
AGUCUUCCCGCAUGGGAUGACUAUUAAAGAAUUUCGGUUGUCGAUGGGGAUGCGUUCCAUUAGGCAGUUGGCGGGGUAACGGCCCACCAAACCAACGAUGGAUAGGGGUUCUGAGAGGAAGGUCCCCCACAUUGGAACUGAGACACGGUCCAAACUCCUACGGGAGGCAGCAGUGAGGAAUAUUGGUCAAUGGACGAGAGUCUGAACCAGCCAAGUAGCGUGAAGGAUGACUGCCCUAUGGGUUGUAAACUUCUUUUAUACGGGAAUAAAGUGAGCCACGUGUGGCUUUUUGUAUGUACCGUAUGAAUAAGGAUCGGCUAACUCCGUGCCAGCAGCCGCGGUAAUACGGAGGAUCCGAGCGUUAUCCGGAUUUAUUGGGUUUAAAGGGAGCGUAGGCGGGUUGUUAAGUCAGUUGUGAAAGUUUGCGGCUCAACCGUAAAAUUGCAGUUGAUACUGGCGACCUUGAGUGCAACAGAGGUAGGCGGAAUUCGUGGUGUAGCGGUGAAAUGCUUAGAUAUCACGAAGAACUCCGAUUGCGAAGGCAGCUUACUGGAUUGUAACUGACGCUGAUGCUCGAAAGUGUGGGUAUCAAACAGGAUUAGAUACCCUGGUAGUCCACACAGUAAACGAUGAAUACUCGCUGUUGGCGAUAUACGGUCAGCGGCCAAGCGAAAGCAUUAAGUAUUCCACCUGGGGAGUACGCCGGCAACGGUGAAACUCAAAGGAAUUGACGGGGGCCCGCACAAGCGGAGGAACAUGUGGUUUAAUUCGAUGAUACGCGAGGAACCUUACCCGGGCUUAAAUUGCAACUGACUGAACCGGAAACGGUUCUUUCUUCGGACAGUUGUGAAGGUGCUGCAUGGUUGUCGUCAGCUCGUGCCGUGAGGUGUCGGCUUAAGUGCCAUAACGAGCGCAACCCUUAUCGAUAGUUACUAGCAGGUCAUGCUGAGGACUCUAUUGAGACUGCCGUCGUAAGAUGUGAGGAAGGUGGGGAUGACGUCAAAUCAGCACGGCCCUUACGUCCGGGGCUACACACGUGUUACAAUGGGGGGUACAGAAGGCAGCUACACGGCGACGUGGUGCUAAUCCCUAAAGCCUCUCUCAGUUCGGAUUGGAGUCUGCAACCCGACUCCAUGAAGCUGGAUUCGCUAGUAAUCGCGCAUCAGCCACGGCGCGGUGAAUACGUUCCCGGGCCUUGCACACACCGCCC